rnacentral:rRNA from 1 species
AAUAGAUACCCAGGUAGUCCACGCCGUAAACGAUGGAUGCUAGCUGUUAUGCGUAUCGACCCGUGUAGUAGCGAAGCUAACGCGUUAAGCAUCCCGCCUGGGGAGUACGAACGCAAGUUUAAAACUCAAAGGAAUUGACGGGGACCCGCACAAGCGGUGGAGCGUGUUCUUUAAUUCGAGGCUAAGCGAAGAACCUUACCAGGGCUUGACAUCCUUGGAAUUUCUCCGAAAGGAGAGAGUACUUUAUUGGACCAAGUGACAGGUGCUGCAUGGCCGUCGUCAGCUCGUGUCGUGAGAUGUUUGGUUAAGUCCAUUAACGAGCGCAACCCUUAUGAAUAGUUGUAUUUUUCUAUUCAGACUGCCCCGGUAACGGGGAGGAAGGGGGGAUGAUGUCAGGUCAGUAUUGCCCUUACGCCCUGGGCUAGAAACGCGCUACAAUGGCGUACNAAUGCGCUGCAACCCGCAGGGGGAGCAAAUCGCAUCAAAGCGGUCCCAGUUCGGAUAAGAGGCUGAAACUCGCCUCUUUGAAGCCGGAAUCGCUAGU